rnacentral:rRNA from 1 species
GAUGAACGCUGGCGGCGUGCCUAAUACAUGCAAGUCGAGCGAACGGACGAGAAGCUUGCUUCUCUGAUGUUAGCGGCGGACGGGUGAGUAACACGUGGAUAACCUACCUAUAAGACUGGGAUAACUUCGGGAAACCGGAGCUAAUACCGGAUAAUAUUUUGAACCGCAUGGUUCAAAAGUGAAAGACGGUCUUGCUGUCACUUAUAGAUGGAUCCGCGCUGCAUUAGCUAGUUGGCAAGGUAACGGCUUACCAAGGCAACGAUGCAUAGCCGACCUGAGAGGGUGAUCGGCCCAACUGGAACUGAGACACGGUCCAGACUCCUACGGGAGGCAGCAGUAGGGAAUCUUCCGCAAUGGGCGAAAGCCUGACGGAGCAACGCCGCGUGAGUGAUGAAGGUCUUCGGAUCGUAAAACUCUGUUAUUAGGGAAGAACAUAUGUGUAAGUAACUGUGCACAUCUUGACGGUACCUAAUCAGAAAGCCACGGCUAACUACGUGC